AAGGCAUGGUGAGGGCAUUUCUUAAGCAUUCUCUUAAAUCUCUCCCAACUUUCAUAAAUUGAUUCUCCCUCAAACUAGAUAAAAGAUGUGAUAUUAUUUUUAAAUUU